CACGUAGGGCGCAAGCGUUGUCCGGAAUUAUUGGGCGUAAAGAGCUCGUAGGUGGUUUGCUGCGUCCGCUGUGAAAACCCAAGGCUUAACCUUGGGCUUGCAGUGGAUACGGGCAGACUAGAGGUAGGUAGGGAGAAUGGAAUUCCCGGUGUAGCGGUGAAAUGCGCAGAUAUCGGGAGGAACACCGGUGGCGAAGGCGGUUCUCUGGGCCUUACCUGACACUGAGGAGCGAAAGCGUGGGGAGCGAACAGG
rnacentral:rRNA from 1 species